AUUGAACGCUGGCGGCAUGCCUUACACAUGCAAGUCGAACGGUAACAGGUCUUCGGAUGCUGACGAGUGGCGAACGGGUGAGUAAUACAUCGGAACGUGCCUAGUAGUGGGGGAUAACUACUCGAAGGAGUGGCUAAUACCGCAUGAGAUCUACGGAUGAAAGCAGGGGAUCGCAAGACCUUGUGCUACUAGAGCGGCCGAUGGCAGAUUAGGUAGUUGGUGGGAUAAAAGAUUACCAAGCCGACGAUCUGUAGCUGGUCUGAGAGGACGAUCAGCCACACUGGGACUGAGACACGGCCCAGACUCCUACGGGAGGCAGCAGUGGGGAAUUUUGGACAAUGGGCGCAAGCCUGAUCCAGCAAUGCCGCGUGCAGGAUGAAGGCCUUCGGGUUGUAAACUGCUUUUGUACGGAACGAAAAGCCCUGGGUUAAUACCCUGGGGUCAUGACGGUACCGUAAGAAUAAGCACCGGCUAACUACGUGCCAGCCGCCGCGGUAAAAC
rnacentral:rRNA from 1 species